rnacentral:rRNA from 1 species
GAUGAACGCUGGCGGCGUGCCUAAUACAUGCAAGUCGAGCGAACAGAUGAGGAGCUUGCUCCUCUGACGUUAGCGGCGGACGGGUGAGUAACACGUGGAUAACCUACCUAUAAGACUGGGAUAACUUCGGGAAACCGGAGCUAAUACCGGAUAAUAUAUUUAACCGCAUGGUUCAAUAGUGAAAGACGGUUUUGCUGUCACUUAUAGAUGGAUCCGCGCCGCAUUAGCUAGUUGGUAAGGUAACGGCUUACCAAGGCAACGAUGCGUAGCCGACCUGAGAGGGUGAUCGGCCACACUGGAACUGAGACACGGUCCAGACUCCUACGGGAGGCAGCAGUAGGGAAUCUUCCGCAAUGGGCGAAAGCCUGACGGAGCAACGCCGCGUGAGUGAUGAAGGUCUUCGGAUCGUAAAACUCUGUUAUUAGGGAAGAACAAAUGUGUAAGUAACUAUGCACGUCUUGACGGUACCUAAUCAGAAAGCCACGGCUAACUACGU